rnacentral:rRNA from 1 species
GAUGAACGCUGGCGGCGUGCCUAAUACAUGCAAGUCGAGCGAACGGACGAGAAGCUUGCUUCUCUGAUGUUAGCGGCGGACGGGUGAGUAACACGUGGAUAACCUACCUAUAAGACUGGGAUAACUUCGGGAAACCGGAGCUAAUACCGGAUAAUAUUUUGAACCGCAUGGUUCAAAAGUGAAAGACGGUCUUGCUGUCACUUAUAGAUGGAUCCGCGCUGCAUUAGCUAGUUGGUAAGGUAACGGCUUACCAAGGCAACGAUGCAUAGCCGACCUGAGAGGGUGAUCGGCCACACUGGAGCUGAGACACGGUCCAGGCUCCUACGGGAGGCAGCAGUAGGGACUCUUCCGCAAUGGGCGAAAGCCUGACGGAGCGACGCCGCGUGAGUGAUGAAGGUCUUCGUAUCGUAAAACUCUGUUAUUAGGGAAGAACAUAUGUGUAAGUAACUGUGCACAUCUUGACGGUGCCUAAUCAGAAAGCCACGGCUAACUACGUG